CAAUAGCGUAUAUUAAAGUUGUUGCAGUUAAAAGCUCGUAGUUGGACUUCUGACGUGGGACUGCGCCCCGUUCCUUUUGGGUACGUUGGGUGCGGACUUGUGUCUUCCUCUCGUAGUUGGUUGGUGCACUUAACUGGGUGCCUUCUGAAUAUGGGACCUUUACUUUGAAAAAUUAAGAGUGUUCAAAGACAGGCAUUGGCUUGAAUACAUUAGCAUGGAAUAAUAGAAUAGGACUUUGGUUCUAUUUUGUUUGGUUUCUUAGGACCGAAGUAAUGAUUAAUAGGGACAUUGGGGGCGAUUAGUAUUUAAUUGUCAGAGGUGAAAUUCUUGGAUUUAUGAAAGACUAACUACUGCGAAAGCAUUUGCCAAGGAUG
rnacentral:rRNA from 1 species